UAUGUACUCCCUGCGUCCCAAAAUUAUUGUCUUAGAUUUGUCUAGAUAUAAAUGUAUCUAGUCACAUUUUAGUAUUUGGAUACAUCCUUUUCUAGACAAACCUAAGACCAAAAUUUUGGGACGGAGGGAGUACUA
rfam:Hordeum vulgare subsp. vulgare, WGS project CAJW01000000 data, contig: morex_contig_2600750